rnacentral:lncRNA from 1 species
UGGAUCGAUGAUUAUUGUUAUUGAUAGAUGUGGUAAGAGAUUCUUCCUGAUGCUGAGUAGCCACAUAGCAUAUCUGGCCUCUACAGAUGAUCUGCUCGAAGCUUCGAAUAGAUUGUCCUUCUCGAGAGUGCUAACUUAAGAUGAAGGAUCUGGAUGGCUGAUGGAGACCCCUUUCUUUAGAUCAAAUGAAUACCUCUAGAUC